rnacentral:rRNA from 1 species
UAUACGGAGGGUGCGAGCGUUAAUCGGAAUUACUGGGCGUAAAGCGUACGCAGGCGGUUUGUUAAGCGAGAUGUGAAAGCCCCGGGCUCAACCUUGGGAACGGGCAUCUGGACUGGUCGACUAGAAGUGCAGAGAGGAAUGGUAGAAUUUCAGGUGUAGCGGUGAAAUGCGUAGAGAUCGGGAGGAAUACCAGAUGGCGAAGGCGGCCUUCUGGACUGACACUGACAGCUGCAGGUGCGAAAGCGUGGGUAAGCAAACCAGGAUUAGAUAACCCUGGUAGUUCACGCCGUAAACGAUGUCAACUAGCAGUCUGCGUACCCUGAGCUCUGAGUUGCGCAGCUAACGCAAUAAGUUGACCGCCUGGGGAGUACGGCCGCAAGGUUAAAACUCAAAUGAAUUGACGGGGGCCCGCACAAGCGGUGGAGCAUGUGGUUUAAUUCGAUGCAACGCGAAGAACCUUACCUACCCUUGACAUCCAGAGGACUUUCCAGAGAUGGAUUGGUGCCUUCGGGAACUCUGAGACAGGUGCUGCAUGGCUGUCGUCAGCUCGUGUUGUGAAAUGUUGGGUUAAGUCCCGUAACGAGCGCAACCCCUAUCCUUAUUUGCCAGCGAGUAAUGUCGGGAACUCUAAGGAGACUGCCGGUGACAAACCGGAGGAAGGUGGGGACGACGUCAAGUCAUCAUGGCCCUUACGGGUAGGGCUACACACGUGCUACAAUGGCAAGUACAAAGGGUUGCAAUCUUGCGAAGUGGAGCCAAUCCCAUAAAGCUUGCCUCAGUCCGGAUUGGAGUCUGCAACUCGACUCCAUGAAGUCGGAAUCGCUAGUAAUCGCGGAUCAGAAUGCCACGGUGAAUACGUUCCCGGGCCUUGUACACACCGCCCGUCACACCAUGGGAGUGGAGCUGCUACCAGAAGUAGGAUUAGCUCUAACCUUCGGGAGGACGAUCACCACGGAUGUGGGUCAUGACUGGGUG